CAUGGAGCCGACCUUGAAAUACCACCCUUUAAUGUUUGAUGUUCUAACGUUGACCCGUAAUCCGGGUUGCGGACAGUGUCUGGUGGGUAGUUUGACUGGGGCGGUCUCCUCCUAAAGAGUAACGGAGGAGCACGAAGGUUGGCUAAUCCUGGUCGGACAUCAGGAGGUUAGUGCAAUGGCAUAAGCCAGCUUGACUGCGAGCGUGACGGCGCGAGCAGGUGCGAAAGCAGGUCAUAGUGAUCCGGUGGUUCUGAAUGGAAGGGCCAUCGCUCAACGGAUAAAAGGUACUCCGGGGAUAACAGGCUGAUACCGCCCAAGAGUUCAUAUCGACGGCGGUGUUUGGCACCUCGAUGUCGGCUCAUCACAUCCUGGGGCUGAAGUAGGUCCCAAGGGUAUGGCUGUUCGCCAUUUAAAGUGGUACGCGAGCUGGGUUUAGAACGUCGUGAGACAGUUCGGUCCCUAUCUGCCGUGGGCGCUGGAGAACUGAGGGGGGCUGCUCCUAGUACGAGAGGACCGGAGUGGACGCAUCACUGGUGUUCGGGUUGUCAUGCCAAUGGCACUGCCCGGUAGCUAAAUGCGGAAGAGAUAAGUGCUGAAAGCAUCUAAGCACGAAACUUGCC
rnacentral:rRNA from 1 species